UACGUAGGCAGCAAGCGUUGUUCGGAAUUACUGGGCGUAAAGCGUGCGCAGGCGGUUUGUUAAGUCCGCUGUGAAAUCCCCGAGCUCAACUUGGGAAUUGCAGUGGAUACUGGCAGGCUGGAGUACGGUAGAGGAAGGUGGAAUUCCCGGUGUAGCAGUGAAAUGCGUAGAGAUCGGGAGGAACACCAGUGGCGAAGGCGGCCUUCUAGACCGGUAUUGACGCUGAUGCGCGAAAGCCAGGGGAGCAAACGGG
rnacentral:rRNA from 1 species